UUUAGUAGGGACAGGGUUUCACUGUGUUAGCCAAGAUGGUCUCGAUCUCCUGACCUCGUGAUCUGCCCGCCAUGGCCUCCCAAAGUGCUGGGAUUACAGGAAUGAGCCACCGCGCCCAGCCUGAAUGGUCAUCUUAAAGCGAAUUUGAAAUUCUGAAUGGCCACCCACAUUUAGUGGCUUUCUUGAGGUAUAAUUUCCAUGUCAUGAAAAUUAUCCAUUUUAAGCAUACAAUUCCACACAUUUUCAUACAAUUUAUACACAACUAUCACCAGGAACAUUUCCAUCACCCAAACUGUUCUGCUGUGCCUGUUUAAAACCAAUCUCCAUGCUGCCACCCCACACCCAGGCAAAGCACUGAUCUGAUCUAAGGUUUGCCUGUUGUAAAAGUUUCAUAUCAUGGUAUCAUACAAUACAGAGCCCUUUCACUUGGUAUAAUGUUUCUGAGCUUCAACCAUAUUGUAGUAUGUACCUGUGCCAUGAAUCAGAAUUUUAUUCCUUUUCGUGGCUGAUAUGGACAUACCAAAUUUUGUUUAUCUAUUCACCAGUUGAUGGAUUUGGAUUGUUUCCAGUUUUUGUCUACUGUGAAUAGUAUGAACAUCUGUUUGCUUUUUGAAUGGGCAUAGUUUUUACAACUUUACUGAGUUACUGUUGAUAUACAAUAAAUUGCACAUAUUUAAAUAUACAAUUUGAUGAGUUUUGACAUACGUAUACACCCAUGAAAUCAUCAUGCAUAAUCAAAUAAUGAAUAUAUACAUCACCCCCAAAUGUUUCAUUGUGCUCUUUCCUUUGGAAUCCCUUUCUCCCUCCUCUCCCAAGCCAUCCUCUGAUCUGCAGGCACUGAUCUACUGUCACUACAGAUUAGCUUGCAUUUUCUAGAAUUUCACCUAAAUGGAAUCAGUAUGCUAUUUUGUAGGGAAAGGUGUCUGGCUUCUUUCACAUAGCAUACUAUUAUUUUGCAAUGCAUACAUGUCACUGUACCUAUCAACAGUCCAUUCCUUUUCAUUACUGAGUAUUAUUCCACUCUACAGAUAUACCACAAUUUGCUUAUCCAUUCAUCUGCUGACAGACACAUACAUUAGUUUCAAUUUUCAAUCACAGCUAAAGCUGCUGUUCUAACCACAUCAGACCAGUUUGGUUCCUCUCUUCUGUAACAAAGUUGUGAGUUGUUUUUCAGUUGCCAUGGGCCCCCAGGUUGAACAUCAUGUAACCUAAGCAUGUCCAGAUGAACCAAGCAUGCAACUAGGGACAACCUAAAUGUUCCAACCAAGGAGAGGGGAUUGAAUUAAGAAGUGGAGGCCAGGUGUGGUGGCUCAUGCCUCUGAACGCUGUGAUUUCUUAACUGCAAUCUUUACCCACACUUCAAAUUGAGUCUCUCAUGUCUGAUAAAACAGCAGCUCGACAAUACUGAGAUAGUGGGCAAGGAGACAGAAGAAGCCCCCCAUGCGAGAAGGCCACAACCCCUAUUCUUCAUAUCCAAAGAUUCAGUGUAUCAAUAACGCUUCUCAAUUUAUCAUCUGCCUUUUUGGUAGGUUUCCAGGGCCCAGAAACGAUCAUUUUGGACAAUCUCACCCAGUUUUACGCUUGUUUUAUUCAGAAAGAGAAUCACCUCUUCACAUCACCAUUAAGGGAAGUGAUCUUGGCUACUCAUUUUUAAUUUCUCAAUUUUUCACAGCAUAAAGUAUGAUGAUAAUACAAAAAUGAAGCAUGACUAUAAUUCAACUCCAAGUAUCAAAUAUAGAAAUGCUUUCAAAGUCUGAUAGAAAAUUUAUCAUCAGAACGUGAAUAUUUUCUAUUAAGAGAGUGGCUCAUCCACAUAGUAACAGCAAGAUAACAUUACAUUAAAGUACCAAAAUAGCCAGUUGAGUAACUUUGAGACUCCUAGAAGAUGAACUGAUUGAUUGCUUGGACCUCAGCUGUGGCUUGACCGCAGAACUCUGAGAUCACCCAAACACGAUCGAUUCUGUGGUGUAUUAACAAAGUCUGACGUAGGCAAAAAGCAAAUUCUUGCAGUUCUAUUAGUAAGAUUAUGU
rnacentral:lncRNA from 1 species